GACGAACGCUGGCGGCGUGCUUAACACAUGCAAGUCGAACGGAAAGGCCCUGCUUUUGUGGGGUGCUCGAGUGGCGAACGGGUGAGUAACACGUGAGUAACCUGCCCUUGACUUUGGGAUAACUUCAGGAAACUGGGGCUAAUACCGGAUAGGAGCUCCUGCUGCAUGGUGGGGGUUGGAAAGUUUCGGCGGUUGGGGAUGGACUGGCGGCUUAUCAGCUUGUUGGUGGGGUAGUGGCUUACCAAGGCUUUGACGGGUAGCCGGCCUGAGAGGGUGACCGGCCACAUUGGUACUGAGAUACGGCCCAGACUCCUACGGGAGGCAGCAGUGGGGAAUAUUGCCCAAUGGGCGGAAGCCUGAUGCAGCAGCGCCGCGUGCGGGAUGACGGCCUUCGGGUUGUAAACCGCUUUCGCCUGUGACGAAGCGUGAGUGACGGUAAUGGGUAAAGAAGCACCGGCUAACUACGUG
rnacentral:rRNA from 1 species